rnacentral:misc_RNA from 1 species
GGUGAAGAACGCAGCGAAAUGCGAUAAGUAAUGUGAAUUGCAGAAUUCAGUGAAUCAUCGAAUCUUUGAACGCACAUUGCGCCCGCCAGUAUUCUGGCGGGCAUGCCUGUUCGAGCGUCAUUUCAACCCUCAAGCCCAGCUUGGUGUUGGGGAUCGGCACAGGCGCCCUCGGGCGCCCGCCGUCCCCUAAAUCUAGUGGCGGUCCCGCUGCAGCCUCCUCUGCGUAGUAGUUUUCUCCUCGCAAGGGCAGCUCGGUGGCGACCUCGCCGUAAAACCCCCAACUUCUGAAAGGUUGACCUCGAAUCAGGUAGGAAUACCCGCUGAACUUAAGCAUAUCAAUAAGCGGAGGA